rnacentral:tRNA from 1 species
GCCGCACUCGUCGGCGGAACGUCGAUGCGGGUGCGGCGCCUGCAGACCGGGUUCGUCCGGUCGUACGCCCUGUUCAUGUUCGCGGGUGCGGCGC